rnacentral:misc_RNA from 1 species
UGCCCCUCACUUGCUUGCACGUCUAGAUCAGCCAGGACGUAGGCAUGUGUAGCGUUUUUUCGGGUUUCGAGAUCAAGAAUCGAUAGGCCCUUUAUUGGUUGGUUUUCCAACAAUCCUCGACCCUUUAUUGGUUACCUUUUGGCUGGGUUUGAUGCUAUUGGUCGGGUGGAUUUCAGGAAUGUCGACCGUGGAGGUGCAUGAGUGGUGUUUGGUUUGUUACAUGUGGAUGGCUGUUUGCUUGCGCAACAACGUUCACGCUGCAUACCUCUUCAGUUUUGUGGCAAGGCUUGGUUUGGCUUGUGCAUAUUGUGGGUUUCCUGUGUUGCAUACCUAGUUGAUGGAAAAGUAUGGGUUUUAGGAUUUUCAUUUUCUUCUUGCGUCAUUCUUUCGGCAUAGGAUGAGCAAUGAAGCAAUCUUUAUGAUCCAUCAUGCUGUUGCGUUUGCAACAAUGAUGUGGCCUAUGAAGCAUUGUUUGGUCUCUUGUAUACGGAAGCUCAUUUGGGCUUGGGUCUUUAUAAAAUCUUCGUUAUGCCCUUGUUAAGCGUUCUCGCUUCUCCUAAACGAUUG